AUGGCACGGCGCACACAAAUCGGACCGCCCGAUUGCCAGCAAGAUCCAAAAGGCCAGAGCAAAAACAGAGCCCCCGGCCGUUUCCACACCCCAUUCCCACCACCGCCCGGCUCUUCCAUGGACGGCCUCCAGCGCUGGCCAGCGUUGGCCGCCGCCGCCAGCGCGAGGGGUGAGGGGCAGCCUCCGGGCGGGCAGCGCGUCAUUCACUGUGACGUCGAGUCGGCGCCGCGGGCGUGGCCAGAAAUGCAGAUGCUGGCCCUCGCCGCCAGCCUCGUGCUCGGGGGCCUCCAGUGCAUGCCACUGACUACCCCUGAACCUGAGUCACCUUCUUCUUGUUCUUUUAUUUUAUAUGAGGGUACCGCUGCCGCACUUCUUUCGCGGAUAGCGAAAUUAGAUGGAUGCAAUCUGGCUUCCACCUCGUGGAUGCUUGAAAUUUAG
rnacentral:rRNA from 1 species